GACGAACGCUGGCGGCGUGCUUAACACAUGCAAGUCGAACGGAGAGGCCCUGCUUUUGUGGGGUGCUCGAGUGGCGAACGGGUGAGUAACACGUGAGUAACCUGCCCUUGACUUUGGGAUAACUUCAGGAAACUGGGGCUAAUACCGGAUAGGAGCUCCUGCUGCAUGGUGGGGGUUGGAAAGUUUCGGCGGUUGGGGAUGGACUCGCGGCUUAUCGGCUUGUUGGUGGGGUAGUGGCUUACCAAGGCUUUGACGGGUAGCCGGCCUGAGAGGGUGACCGGCCACAUUGGGACUGAGAUACGGCCCAGACUCCUACGGGAGGCAGCAGUGGGGAAUAUUGCACAAUGGGCGGAAGCCUGAUGCAGCAACGCCGCGUGCGGGAUGACGGCCUUCGGGUUGUAAACCGCUUUCGCCUGUGACGAAGCGUGAGUGACGGUAAUGGGUAAAGAAGCACCGGCUAACUACGU
rnacentral:rRNA from 1 species